CUCUAAAGUCUCCAUAAUCUUGUUUUUCAGGCUCCGGAACAUUUCACUUUGGUCUCCAAACUCAAACACUGCUACACGAGCUCUAUAACCAUCCUGGGCUUUUAUGACGUGAAGUGACCCACCAUCAACGACAGUUUAGAGGCAGAGGAUCCUUCUUCUGACUUAGCAUUAGAAGCUCAAUAGUUGCCAAACAUCACAUCACAAUGCCUAUGUCAUUCACUUGACUUCAUUUCAUCUUGGAGGCCUUUUGUUAGCUCACAUCCUCACAAGAAAAAGAAGGAAAGGCAGUAGGAGCUCUUUGGGGAAGAGUUCCCAUGGAGUUGAGGCUCGGGCGUCUCAAGA